GAUCUUGCUGUUUCUCAUUUUUAGAUCUGAUUGUUGCAUGUUUGAGUUGUUUACAAAAUUCACAUAGAAUCCAGGUUGAAUGAGGAUCAAAGGUUUGAUCGUGGACUCUUGAUUGAACAAUAGAUAGAUGGAGUUUCUGAUUUUAGGGGAAAAAAGGAAAGAAAAAACGAACUCACCGGUUGAGCCGCACAAAUCGGCGAACCGACGAACCGCCCACAAUUACGAAUCUGCCGGUUUUUUGUGUUUCCCUUUCAUAUGCUUUUUAAUCGGAGAGUUAGGGUAAACAAUCCCUUUACAAUAUUUCUGAUUCGUUAAUUAAAUCUCCCGCGCGCUCAAUGACGUCGGAUUAACUGUUCCUAUUUUUCAUCGCUUUGGUUUAUAGAUAGAGAUUAGAUUACAAUUUCAAAUCCCCAUUAUUUUUGCUUUCAAUCCCAGUAAUGGAGCUAUAUAUAUGUGAUCUGUGUUAUUAUCUUAUCAUCUACUGCAUACGACUUCUCUAAAUUACGAGUAUCGGCUUACAUUUCAGGUUAGUGUUUUUUUAUUUUAUUGUAUCAGCCAGCUUUCAUUUUUUUAUUUGUGCUGUGGUAAGUUUCUGAUUUUAUGUCACUGAUGUUGGUGAGGUAACUGAUUUUAAGAAAUUGAUGAAGAAUGAUAUGAUUAAUGUAUUGUUCAGUUAUGGGUUGUUUUUCAUUGAUGUUGUUUUUAGGUUUAAUGUUACUACUGUGCUUGAUAUGUUGUUCAAAUUCUGGGUUGUUUUUCAUUGAUGUGGUUUUUAAUUUAUAUAUCUAUGAAAACAGAGAUGAAACGAAAUCAUUAAAAUCGUGACAACGAUUUCAAGCAUAUAAUUUCUUAUUUUGAGUAAGUGUCAUUGGUAUUUUUUAAGCAAAAAUAUUAUGCCAUUGAUAUGUUAUCACUGUUAGUUGGUUCAAAGAAUAUUAAAUCAUGUAUGGCUGAGUAUCUGCAUAAUGUAAUAAAAUAAUAAUGCUAGCGGUGCUGUUUAAAUCAUCAAUUUUGGUGUAGAUGCUCAAAAUUUAACUAUAACCAUAUUGGCGUCUGGGCUUUAUAAUGAAAGCCUGUCUCUCUUUAACUCCUACAUAUGGUUAGCAAUAGAGUAAAGAAGCCAAAGAUACAACAGUCACAUACAUGAAAAUCAUCUGUCCUUCACUAGCAACUAAUAAAGCAUAAAAUUUAAAAUUAUAUAGUUUUGGCUUCGCAAAUAGAUUAUUCUUUUGAUUAUUAUGUUUCGUCUGUUGUUUAUCAUAUUAUGAUGAGUUGUAAUUAUGACAUGAGACUAUAUUGGGCCAAUAAUAAUUUUAAACGUGCUUCAUUAAUUCACUUUUUUUUAACAUCUACAGUUCAAUGGCUUUGAAUAAAGUUACUCUCAUCAGUUACCUUGAUGUGUUACUCGAAAGCUACAAACUCAAGAAGUCUUUCGAGAUUUGUUAUGUUAGGCCCAUUUAAAAUCCUACUCUAUCCGGGUUUGGGCUAGGUUAAUAAUAGUCCAACAUGGGCCUCGGAUGAGAAUGUUGACUGUUGAGGACUUUUGACUCGGGAAAGUGUAUUUUCACACGAGUUCUAGAAGAUAGAGACCUUAGUCUUGAUCUUUGUUUAUUUAACUGAUUGACUAGUGGCUAGUUAAUCACUCAUUUUCGUAGCAAACUCAUUGAUGUUGUAAAGUCCUAAAUCUCAAGUGUAAUAAUCUAAUGUUGUUU
rnacentral:lncRNA from 1 species